rnacentral:rRNA from 1 species
GACGAACGCUGGCGGCGUGCUUAACACAUGCAAGUCGAACGGAAAGGCCCCCAUCUUGGUAGGGGUGCUCGAGUGGCGAACGGGUGAGUAACACGUGGGUGAUCUGCCCUGUACUUCGGGAUAAGCUUGGGAAACUGGGUCUAAUACCGGAUAGGACCAUGGUUUAGUGUCUCAUGGUGGAAAGAUUAUUGUUUUGGUGCAGGAUGAGCUCGCGGCCUAUCAGCUUGUUGGUGGGGUAAUGGCCUACCAAGGCGUCGACGGGUAGCCGGCCUGAGAGGGUGGACGGCCACAUUGGGACUGAGAUACGGCCCAGACUCCUACGGGAGGCAGCAGUGGGGAAUAUUGCACAAUGGGCGCAAGCCUGAUGCAGCGACGCCGCGUGGGGGAUGACGGCCUUCGGGUUGUAAACUCCUUUCGUUAGGGACGAAGCCGCACUUUUUUUGGGUGUGGUGACGGUACCUUUGUUAAGAAGCACCGGCUAACUACGUG